UAUGGUGACUAUAGCAGUGGUGUCCACCUCUUCCCAUUCCGAACAGAGAAGUUAAGCCCACUAGCGCCGAUGGUACUGCAUUCGUGGAAGAGUAGGUCGUUGCCAAUU
rnacentral:rRNA from 1 species